AAACAAGAGUGCACACGCUGAAAUGUCUCGCCUUCUAUACUAAUCAUUGAUAUUAUGUUGAUAGUCCUAAGUAUAAAGCUUAGUUUUAUUACAACUGUCUCAUAAACUUAACAUUAACCAAGAUAACUAAACAAAGACCAAUGAACCUUGAAAAUGAGGUCAAGGUCCGAUGAACCAUGCCAGGCAGACAUGUACAGCUAACAAUGCUUCUAUACAACAUAUAUAGUUGACCCAUUACUUAUAGUUUAAGAAAAAUAGACCAAAACACAAAAACUUAACACUGUGCAAUGAACCGUGAAAAUGAGGUCACCGUCAAAUAAAACCUGCGCGACUGACAUAAAGAUCAUAAAAUAUUUCCAUACACCAAAUAUAGUUGACCUAUGGCAUACAGUAUUAGAUAAAAAGACCAAAAACUCAAAAACUUAACUUUGACCACUGAACCAUGAAAAUGAGGUCAAGGUCACAUGACAUCUGCCCGCUAGACAUGUACACCUUACCAUCAUUCCAUACAACAAAUAUAGUAGACAUAUUGCAUAUAGUAUGAGAAAAACAGACCAAAACACAAAAAUUUAACUAUAACCACUGAACCAUGAAAAUGAGGUCAAGGUCAGAUGACACCUGCCAGUUGGACAUGUACACCUUACAGUCCUUCCAUACACCGAAUAUACUAGCCCUAUUGCUUAUAGUAUCUGAGAUAUGGAC
rnacentral:lncRNA from 1 species